rnacentral:rRNA from 1 species
UUGUAAAGAUCUUUUCCACAUGAGGAAUAAGUCUGGGAGGGAAUGCCCGGAUGAUGACGUUAGUGUGGGAAUAAGCCCCGGCUAAUUACGUGC